GAUGAAGAACGUAGCGAAAUGCGAUAAGUAGUGUGAAUUGCAGAAUUCAGUGAAUCAUCGAAUCUUUGAACGCACAUUGCGCCCCUUGGUAUCCCGAGGGGCAUGCCUGUUCGAGCGUCAUUUCACCACUCAAGCCUGGCUUGGUGUUGGGCGACGUCCCCUUUGGGGACGCGCCUCGAAACGCUCGGCGGCGUGGCACCGGCUUUAAGCGUAGCAGAAUCUUUCGCUUUGGAAGUCGGGGCCCCGUCUGCCGGAAGACCUAUUCGCAAGGUUGACCUCGGAUCAGGCAGGGAUACCCGCUGAACUUAAGCAUAUCAAUAAGCGGAGGA
rnacentral:misc_RNA from 1 species